GGCAGACGGGUGAGUAACGCGUGGGAACGUGCCUUUCGGUUCGGGAUAACCCAGGGAAACUUGGGCUAAUACCGGAUACGCCCUUCGGGGGAAAGAUUCAUCGCCGAAAGAUCGGCCCGCGUCGGAUUAGCUAGUUGGUGGGGUAAUGGCCUACCAAGGCGACGAUCCGUAGCUGGUCUGAGAGGAUGACCAGCCACACUGGGACUGAGACACGGCCCAGACUCCUACGGGAGGCAGCAGUGGGGAAUAUUGGACAAUGGGCGAAAGCCUGAUCCAGCCAUGCCGCGUGGGUGAAGAAGGCCUUAGGGUUGUAAACCCCUUUCAGCGGGGAAGAUAAUGACGGUACCCGCAGAAGAAGUCCCGGCUAACUCCGUGCCAGCAGCCGCGGUAAUACGGAGGGGACUAGCGUUGUCCGGAAUCACUG
rnacentral:rRNA from 1 species